UACGUAGGGUGCGAGCGUUGUCCGGAAUUAUUGGCGUAAAGAGCUCGUAGGCGGUGUGUCACGUCGGCCGUGAAAACCUGCAGCUUAACUGUGGGCGUGCGGUCGAUACGGGCAUCACUGGAGUUCGGCAGGGGAGACUGGAAUUCCUGGUGUAGCGGUGAAAUGCGCAGACUAUCAGGAGGAACACCGGUGGCGAAGGCGGGGUCUCUGGGCCGAUACUGACGCUGGAGGA
rnacentral:rRNA from 1 species